rnacentral:rRNA from 1 species
GCUCAACCGGGGAGGGUCAUUGGAAACUGGGGAACUUGAGUGCAGAAGAGGAGAGUGGAAUUCCACGUGUAGCGGUGAAAUGCGUAGAGAUGUGGAGAAACACCAGUGGCGAGGGCGACUCUCUGGUCUGUAACUGACGCUGAGGCGCGAAAGCGUGGGGAGCGAACAGGAUUAGAUACCCUGGUAGUCCACGCCGUAAACGAUGAGUGCUAAGUGUUAGAGGGUUUCCGCCCUUUAGUGCUGCAGCAAACGCAUUAAGCACUCCGCCUGGGGAGUACGGUCGCAAGACUGAAACUCAAAGGAAUUGACGGGGGCCCGCACAAGCGGUGGAGCAUGUGGUUUAAUUCGAAGCAACGCGAAGAACCUUACCAGGUCUUGACAUCCUCUGGCAACCCUAGAGAUAGGGCUUCCCCUUCGGGGGCAGAGUGACAGGUGGUGCAUGGUUGUCGUCAGCUCGUGUCGUGAGAUGUUGGGUUAAGUCCCGCAACGAGCGCAACCCUUGAUCUUAGUUGCCAGCAUUCAGUUGGGCACUCUAAGGUGACUGCCGGUGACAAACCGGAGGAAGGUGGGGAUGACGUCAAAUCAUCAUGCCCCUUAUGACCUGGGCUACACACGUGCUACAAUGGGCAGAACAAAG